GAUGAACGCUAGCUACAGGCUUAACACAUGCAAGUCGAGGGGUAACAAGAGGAAAGCUUGCUUUCUUUGUUGACGACCGGCGCACGGGUGAGUAACGCGUAUCCAACCUGCCUAUAACUAGGGAAUAACCUUGCGAAAGUAAGACUAAUACCCUAUGAUUUCCUUUGAUGACAUCAGAUUAGGAAUAAAGAUUUAUCGGUUAUAGAUGGGGAUGCGUCUGAUUAGCUUGUUGGCGGGGUAACGGCCCACCAAGGCAACGAUCAGUAGGGGUUCUGAGAGGAAGGUCCCCCACAUUGGAACUGAGACACGGUCCAAACUCCUACGGGAGGCAGCAGUGAGGAAUAUUGGUCAAUGGGCGGAAGCCUGAACCAGCCAAGUAGCGUGCAGGAUGACGGCCCUAUGGGUUGUAAACUGCUUUUAUACAGGAAUAAAGUUAGCCACGUGUGGUUAUUUGUAGGUACUGUAUGAAUAAGGACCGGCUAAUUCCGUGCCAGCAGCCGCAGUAA
rnacentral:rRNA from 1 species